GCUUUCAACAUCCCCGUCUCAAGGACAAAAGACGGCGCCGUCUAUCGGCUCCUGACGUCCUGGUGAGACUGAAGGC
rnacentral:sRNA from 12 species